AGAGUUUGAUCCUGGCUCAGAAUGAACGUUGGCGGCGUGGAUUAGGCAUGCAAGUCGAGCGAUCGUAGCAAUACGGGAGCGGCAAACGGGGUAGGAAUACCUCGGAACAUACCCUUAGGUCGGGGAUAGCGGCGGGAAACUGCCGGUAAUACCCGAUGAUCUCGAGAGAGCAAAGGUUUACUGCCUAGGGAGUGGCCGAGGCGAUAUUAGCUAGUUGGUGAGGUAAUGGCUCACCAAGGCUUCGAUGUCUAGGGGGCGUGAGAGCGCGACCCCCACCACUGGGACUGAGAAACUGCCCAGACACCUACGGGUGGCUGCAGUCGAGAAUCUUCGUCAAUGGGGGAAACCCUGAACGAGCGACGCCGCGUGUGGGAUGAAGGCCUUUGGGUUGUAAACCACUGUCAGGGGGGAUGAAACCGCAAGGUUGACAGAGCCCCAGAGGAAGCACGGGCUAAGUUCGUGCCAGCAGCCGCGGUAAUUC
rnacentral:rRNA from 1 species